rnacentral:misc_RNA from 1 species
AAGUCGUAACAAGGUAACCGUAGGUGAACCUGCGGUUGGAUCAUUAAAAAAUUCAACAAAGAAGUUUUUUUUUUUUAAAGUAAAAUUUAAAAAAAAAAUUCUUUCUUUAACAUUUUGUGCACUGUAAUUAAUUUAUUCUAGCGGGGAUUUUUUAAAAAAUAGGCCGACUUAAAAAAAAUUUAUUUCUUUUAUUAGGCUGGAGUUGUUUGGAAACAAAUAAACUUUACCCGCUAGAAAAUAAUUUUAACUUUAUUUUUUUAUAUUGCCUUUAGAUUAAUUUAAUAAAAGUUUAACUUAAAAAAAUAACUUUUGACAACGGAUCUCUAGGCUCUC